rnacentral:piRNA from 1 species
UUACUAGUUUGAUAGCCCACUAAUGCC